AUUUUCGAUCGUUAAACUAACACGAAUUUUCGGUUGUUAAUUUUUAGAAUGACCAUGCAAAUAACUACUGAUCAAAUCGGUUGUUAAGCGUGUUAACGACCAUUUUUUCAGUUUUGAAGACCAAAUUUUUCAUCGUUAAAGCUACAUUUUCUGGCAGUGUUACAACUUUAAUCGAAAAUCAGGACCACAUGUACAAUAAUUUUAUGUCUCCCUCUAUAAAUUAAGAAAAAAAAAAAAACUGAACAACUAGUUGUAGUUCUAGGAAAUAUAUACUCUUUAUAAGAUAUGAGAAAUCUAUAACAAAAUCUUGGUGAUGAAAAGAAAAAUAUGCAUUCCUUGAAGACCAGAAGAUUAAGGCAUAAAUCCAACGAUAACAACAUUGUUAGCAGCCGAACAUCCC
rnacentral:lncRNA from 1 species